rnacentral:rRNA from 1 species
GUGAACUCCGUGGCGUGAUGCGGGGUAAAACGGAGGGUGGAAGCGGUAAUCGGAAUGACGGGGCGUAAAGCGCACGCAGGCGGGUGGAUAAGUUAGAUGUGAAAGCCCCGGGCUCAACCUGGGAAGUUGAGUUAAAACUGUCCAGCUAGAGUCUUGUAUAGGGGGGGAGAAGUCCAGGUGUAGCGGUCAAAUGCGUAGAGAUCUGGGGGAAUACCGGUGGCGAAGGCGGCCCCCUGGACAAAGACUGACGCUCAGGUGCGAAAGCGUGGGGAGCAAACAGGAUUAGAUACCCCAGUAGUC